AUCACAUAGAUACUUAAGUUCCAUCCGAAGGGCCAAGCCAAGAGAUUGCUUCCGAUAAAUUAAGGACAAGUUGUACAUAUCACAGUUUUACUCUACACCUUAAAAGAACAAGAGGAAAGAAAAUGGCAAGAACGAAGAAAAUACCUGACAGAGGAAAAGAAAAGAAAAGCAAAAGUAAGAACGUUAUUGAAAAUACCACCAAAAAAAGGAUAAAAGAUCGUGUCUUCAGAGAAAUAGUGAAGUACCAAAAAUCUGUAGAUCAUCUCAUUCCUCGUGCUCCAUUUUCUAGACUUGUCAGGACUGUCCUCCAGCGAAUAGUUGAAGAUGGUGGAUCAGCAUUCAAGAACAGGGAUUUCAGGGUAACAAAGGAAUGCCUGAUAUGCCUCCAUGAGGCUAGUGAAAUUUACAUGACGGUUUACUUUGAAGAUUUGAAUCUCUUAGCACAACAUGCCAAAAGAGUGACUAUCAUGACAAAGGACAUUGAAAUUCUGAAGAAUUUAAAAAGAUCAAAUCCUCAUGGCCUCCUAUCAUGAUCUGAUUUCGAUGAUCAUUUUAUAUUGAUCAAAAUUCCUGCCCAGCUCCCAAUUAACAACAGAUACCUGUAAACAGAUGAAUUAUUUACACAUUCCACUUCAAGAAGUCUAUUUAUGCUCAAGUGAACACAUAUUCGGUUUAAAGAGUAUCAGAACUUAUUCGUUUUCAAUUUGAGCGGAAGCUCUAACCUCUAGUGAGUCAAGGCCGCCAAGUUGAGAUAUCAAGCAAAAAUGUGCACUCAAUUAACCCAUACAGUAGAAGUUAAUUGUGUAAGUUGUUAACAGAACUGCUAUUUUUAUAAUGAUCAGACAGAUACUUUAGUUCCAUCCGAAGGGCCAAGCCAAGAGAUUGCUUCCGAUAAAUUAAGGACAAGUUGUACAUAUCACAGUUUUACUCUACACCUUAAAAGAACAAGAGGAAAGAAAAUGGCAAGAACGAAGAAAAUACCUGACAGAGGAAAAGAAAAGAAAAGCAAAAGUAAGAACGUUAUUGAAAAUACCACCAAAAAAAGGAUGAAAGAUCGUGUCUUCAGAGAAAUAGUGAAGUACCAACAAUCUGUACAUCAUCUCAUUCCUCGUGCUCCCUUUUCCAGAUUUGUCAGGACUGUACUACAGCGAAUAGUUGAAGAUGGUGGAUCAGCAUUCAGGAACAGGGAUUUCAGGGUAACAAAGGAAUGCCUGAUAUGCCUCCAUGAGGCUAGUGAAAUUUACAUGACGAUUUACUUUGAAGAUUUGAAUCUCUUGGCAUCUCAUGCCAAAAGAGUAACUGUCAUGACAAAGGACAUUGAAAGUCUGAAGCAUUUAAAAAGAUCAAAUCCUCAUGGCCUCCUAUCAUGAUCUGAUUUGGAUGAUCAUUUUAUAUUGAUCAAAAUUCCUGCCCAACUGCAGCUCCCAAUUAACAACAGAUACCUGUAAACAGAUGAAUUAUUUACACAUAACAUUCCACUUCAAGAAGUCUAUUUAUGCUCAAGUGAACACAUAUUCGGUUUAAAGAGUAUCAGAACUUAUUAAUUUUCAAAUUUGCAAGUGAUCUCUGAAAGUUGAAACUUGACAAUUCAGCUUAGUCUCUCCCUCAACAGAUUUGACAGUACAAAGAAAAAAUGAAAAUUGAAAAAAGGAAAUUGUAUACAAGUUAUUAUUACAUUAAUGUGAAAUUUUCAAAAAUGUAAAUAAUGUGUAACGAUUUUAAUUUAAGCCAUGUUCCGGGAAAAUAAAUUUGUAGGCAGUGCAUGAUAUGAACACUAUUCAGAAUCCGCAUAGUGUUCAUAUCAUGCAUUGCAGAUGGGUAUUUUGAGGUUAAAACUAUUUGCAACUUCAAUACACCACUUUUUUGUUAAUUUUGAGUCGACUCUUUACUGAGAAUAUUUAAAUCUGUAUUUAUUUUUAACCAUAUUUGAAUAAAGUAUUUUGUAAUAUAGCAAUUCGUGACAUUUUCAAGUUAACAA